AACGAACGCUGGCGGCAGGCUUAACACAUGCAAGUCGAGCGCCCCGCAAGGGGAGCGGCAGACGGGUGAGUAACGCGUGGGAAUCUACCGUGCCCUACGGAAUAGCUCCGAGAAACUGGAAUUAAUACCGUAUACGCCCUACGGGGGAAAGAUUUAUCGGGGCAUGAUGAGCCCGCGUUGGAUUAGCUAGUUGGUGGGGUAAAGGCCUACCAAGGCGACGAUCCAUAGCUGGUCUGAGAGGAUGAUCAGCCACAUUGGGACUGAGACACGGCCCAAACUCCUACGGGAGGCAGCAGUGGGGAAUAUUGGACAAUGGGCGCAAGCCUGAUCCAGCCAUGCCGCGUGAGUGAUGAAGGUCUUAGGAUUGUAGAGCUCUUUCACCGGUGAAGAUAAUGACGGUAACCGGAGAAGAAGCCCCGGCUAACUUCGUGCCAGCCGCCGCAGUAA
rnacentral:rRNA from 1 species